rnacentral:rRNA from 1 species
CCCUUAGAUGUUCUGGGCUGCACGCGCGCUACACUGAAGCUAUCAACACGUUUUCCCUCCCUGAGAAGGGCGGGUAACCUUUUGAAUCAGCUUCGUGGUAGGGAUCGAGGCUUGCAAUUGUUCCCCGUGAACCAGGAAUUCCUAGUAGACGCGAGUCAUAAGCUCGCAUCGAUUAAGUCCCUGCCCUUUGUACACACCGCCCGUCGCUACUACCGAUUGAACGUUUUAGUGAGGCAUUUGGACCGACGCAUCUCAGUUUAACCGCUGGUUUGUGUUGGAAAGACUUCCAAACUUGAGCGUUUAGAGGAAGUAAAAGUCGUAACA